UGAAAUUUUCCAAAUUGGAGGCCAAUAGUUUUCUCUUUCCCUUUAGAGCUGAAAGUGUAGAGCAAUGACACCAGCAAUGACAUCUGCAUUGCCAGAGGCCAUAUUUCUGUCAUAGGGAGAAAUGACCUAUAAAAUAGAAAAGAACAAUGAGGCUGAAAGGAGAGACAGAUAAGGAAGGAGAAUCAUGAAAGCAUCGUUUGAGACCCUGGAUCCAGGUGGAGAAAAGGCCAGGAAGUCCUCUUAUUCUACAUAGUCUCACUUUCUAAGGAAAAAGGAACUUGAUAAUAACAAAGUGUCAACCACAG